ensembl:lncRNA
UGGGAUUAUUGAUAGGUUUGAUGGGAUUAUUGAUAGAAUUGAUGGGUUUAAUAGGAUUAUUGAUCGCUUGAAGGCAUUAUUGAUGGGAUUAUUGAUAGCUUUGAUGGGAUUAUUGAUAGAGUUCAUGGGUAUGAUGGGAUUAUUGAUCGCUUGCAGGCAUUAUUGAUGGGAUUAAUGGGAUUAUUGAUGGGAUUAUUGAUACAAUUGAUGUGUUUGAUGGGAUUAUUGAUCGCUUGCUGACAUUAUUGAUGUGAUUAAUGGGAUUAUUGAUAGCUUUGAUGGGAUUAUUGAUAGAAUUGAUGGGUUUGUUGGGAUAAUUGAUUACUUGCAGGCAUUAUUGAUGGGAUUAAUGGGAUUAUAGAUAGCCUUGAUGGGAUUAUUGGUAGAAUUGAU